rnacentral:rRNA from 1 species
GACGUAGGGUGCAAGCGUUGUCCGGAUUUAUUGGGCGUAAAGAGCUCGUAGGCGGCUUGUUGCGUCGACUGUGAAAACCCGCGGCUUAACCGCGGGCUUGCAGUUGAUACGGGCAGGCUAGAGUUCGGUAGGGGAGAGUGGAAUUCCUGGUGUAGCGGUGAAAUGCGCAGAUAUCAGGAGGAACACCGGUGGCGAAGGCGGGUCUCUGGGCCGAUACUGACGCUGAGGAGCGAAAGCGUGGGGAGCAAACAGG